AAAAGUAACCACAAAUGAAGGAUUUAAGAUUCCACUCAGAGCAGCACAUCCAACUGCCCGAAUUUCUAAGAGAGAAAAUAUAAGACUUUCAUGUUCUGACCCUAGAGUACAGGAAAUUCAAAUGCUCCAACGAUUCCCUUUGGCUCUAUUCAGUUGUCAUCAUGUAUGCGAGAAUAUCCAAGAAAGCGGCUCCCAGAACUUGUGGGACUCCAAACCUUGACAGAAUCAUGCGUGGGCACAGUCUUUCGUCAGGAUCACUACAACAGCUAGAAAAGGAGAAGGCGACCCACUGCAGACACGAGACAGGAGGCACCUUACACAAGGCAAGCAAACAGGCCCCUGCGAGAGGCUGGAUGUCCUGCCUCCUGCAAAGGGCUGCAGAGGCAAAGACUAACAAACCAACCUAUUUAUGGAUGAGGAAAAUGCCUUGGAAGAGAAGACAGUAACCAAACCCUGCAACUGCUGACAUUAAGUCCAAAAGUCCGCUGGAACCACUGCCCCAGAGUGCUGAUCAUUUUCCCAGCUGCCAACACGAGCAAGGACACACCUUAGUUUGCACGGCAAGCAUACUCUGGGGUGGCCAGACCCUGGGGCGUGUGGUACAGGGAUGGUACUUCAAAAACCCAGAGACCAUAAAGCUAAGAGAAGAAAAUAGUGACUGGUGGGGUCCCAAGACUGUCGGUCUUAGAAAGAAUCCAUUUAUCAAAAGCACAGCAAUUUUACCUUUGACUCAAUCUUUUAUUUCAAGACAAAUUCCAAAGGCUUGCUGCACACAGAAAAUGGAUCAAAAUAACACAUGAACGAGUUUUAAGAAAAAAUUUCCUAUACAUUGACAUUAGUAUGUAUUCAACUGAUAAAAAAUAUAAAAUCUCUAUCGAUUUCUCUUAAUGAAGCUUUAAUAGUAACAAACUCCCCCCAAAAUAAAAGAAGCAGUCAAUAAAUGGGCAAAUGAAAAGCACACUUCACAGAAGUACAAACGGCCAGUAAAUGCAUGAAGAAAUUUUCAACAUCACUAGAGGUUACAGAAAUGCAAAUUAAAAUAGCACUGAGAUUCCAUCUUACCCCUGAAACAAUGCCCGUCAUUAAGAAAUCAAAUAAUAACAAAUGCUGAUGAGGGUGCAGGGAAAGAUGAUUUCUUCCACAUUAUGGUAGGAAUGUAAACUAUUACAACCACUAUGGUAAGCAGUAUGGAGAAUCCUCAACAGCUUAAAACGAGAAAUCCCAUUUGAACCAGCUCUUCCGUUUCGAGAGAUCCCCCCAAAGCACUAAAGGCAUCACACUGCAGUGAUCCACGCAUAGCCAUUUCCACAGCAGCACAGUUCAUAACAGGUAAAUCUCGGAAGCAGCGUAUACGUCCAUUACAGACGAGUGGAUAAGGAAAAUGAUGUAUUUACAUAGAACAGGGUACUCUUCCGCCAUAAAGAAAGAUAAACCUGAGUCAUUUGGAGGAAAAUGGAUGCCCCCUGAAUCAUAACGUUAAGUGAAAUAAAUCAGACACACAAAGUUAAACAGUGCAUGGUUCUCAUUAUAAGAGAAACCCAAAUCAUAAGGCGCAAGAUAAAAGACGUAUCAUAGGAAGCAGGGAGACGGAGCUUUCUCAAAUGCAGAGAACAACAGACGGAGGGAAGCGGGAGGGGAAUGGAGGUGAAAAAGGGAAUUAAGAUGUGUUAGUACCAAGUCCACACAAGAAACGUAAACUCCACACGUACCACAAACAUACACUAAUACAAAAGUUUAAAAGAACUAGAACAUGUUCAACCAGGUUUAAUGUGCAACAAAUAGAGUUUUUGCCAAUUCUCUUUAUUUAUUUCUAAAUUUACUUUGGACUUCACCAAUAUUAUGUAGCUAACUUAUUAGUCAAUGUCCUUUGUGACCGUCUGAUCAUUUUUCUCUGAGGGUGCAUAGUUGUUCAAAAUAGUACAGUUUUGUGAUCUUCUGAACUUUUUCUGAUAUUCUACUCUACAUUUUUCUCAAAUUAAUGAAUUCCACUCUUUUUUGACUCUACUAUUUCUAUCUAUUCCCUGUGAAUAGGAAAUUUACUUUCAAAGGAAUUUAUAAUUUUUUAU
ensembl:lincRNA